rnacentral:rRNA from 1 species
CCCAGACUCCUACGGGAGGCAGCAGUGGGGGAUAUUGCACAAUGGGGGGAACCCUGAUGCAGCGACGCCGCGUGGGUGAAGAAGUAUUUCGGUAUGUAAAGCCCUAUCGGCAGGGAAGAAAUUGGACGGUACCUGACUAAGAAGCCCUGGCUAACUACGUGCCAGCAGCCGCGGUAAUACGUAGGGGGCAAGCGUUAUCCGGAUUCACUGGGUGUAAAGGGAGCGUAGACGGCCAUGCAAGCCUGGAGUGAAAGCCCGGGGCCCAACCCCGGGACUGCUCUGGGAACUGUGCGGCUGGAGUGCGGGAGGGGCAGGCGGAAUUCCUGGUGUAGCGGUGAAAUGCGUAGAUAUCAGGAGGAACACCGGCGGCGAAGGCGGCCUGCUGGACCGUGACUGACGUUGAGGCUCGAGAGCGUGGGGAGCAAACAGGAUUAGAUACCCGCGUA